CUCAGUUCACCUGGGAGGGGUAUUUCCAACAUUCUGAUGCCUUCUGUCCCUACCUUCCCUUCUCCUUAGGGAAAUGCGGAAUAUUUCCUGACCAGUGGUGACAAAAUCAGAUUCUUCUUUGAGAAAGGUGUCUCUGACAAGGAAGGUAACUUUAAGGAUCCACAGGAGAAGUCCAUCAACAAGAUCGGUCACGGGGAGCGGCGGGGAGCAGGACGGGAUCUGGAGGGAAAGGGUUAAAAUCCCCAGCUUUUCUCCCCAGCCCCACUCACUGAACCAGCCCCUUUCUGUGGAACUGCCCAGAGCUCUGCAUGCCCAUGAUCCUGUCUUCAAGAAGAUCACCCACUCCCCACAAAUCCAGGAAAUAAGCAGGAGCCUGGGGUACAAGGAGCCUGUGGUGGUCCAGAGCAUUUUCAUUUUCAAGCAACCACACAUUGGUGGAGAAGGUGAGGCCUGUGUAGGAGCUGGAGCCAGUAGGCCUCUCUGCCUGGGAGCCUGCCCUGGUGCUGUCAGGGAGAGUAAGGAGCCAGAUUUUUGGUACCAGCCUGUCUGGGUGACCUUGGAAAGGAGGAGGAGAGAGGCCAAGGGCUGAACCCUCCCCAGGGGAUCCCAAAAGUU